CACGCAGGCGGUCUUUUAAGUUUGACGUGAAAGCUCCCGGCUUAACUGGGAGAGGUCGUUGAAUACUGGAAGACUUGAGGCAAUGAGAGGGGUGUAGAAUUCCCGGUGUAGUGGUGGAAUGCGUAGAUAUCGGGGGGAAUACCAGUGGCGAAAGCGGCACCCUAGCGUUAGCCUGACGCUCAUGUGCGAAAGCGUGGGGAGCGAACG
rnacentral:rRNA from 1 species